CCCACCCUAGACAGCUCCAAGGCUUGCUGACCUCUCUGUGCCUGUGCUAGCAGGGCUGUCCGUGCAGCCGUGAGAAAACCAAUGCUCAAGGCUGACAUUGCCGCCUCCUCGGAGCACGUGCAGUUUUUAGCACUGUGUUACUCCCAUCCCCGCCCGAGAUCUGGUGCCAUCUGUAACAGUGCUGGUAGGGAAACUGGAAGAAAGUUUGUGCGAAACCCUCUGAGAUACAACAUUACGAAGCGUUCAUUUCCCAGAUCAUUAGAAUAGCCAUCUGGCCAAAACCAGAGAUGCACAUGCCUGCAUCUCCAGCCUACCAGCAUUCAGCCGCGAGGGUGCCUGCUCCGUAGCAUUUGGGACUGGGAGCUGCAGAUGUUGCUUUGCCACUGCUCUUGGAGAAUUCUCUUUGCACGUUGGUCUUUUUACGGUUUAUCUGCAAUUCAAAACCGAGCUGACUUUUAGGAGGCGUCUGUCUGACAAUAGACAUUUUAGCCAGGAACAUAGUAUGUUUCCUAUGCCUCCAAAUAGCCUACAGUGCUGUGAAACCACAAGAUCCUAUCUCUUCCAUGCGUUGUUCCCAUGAAUAUUUUCACUGUUAAUAAAGUACGUUUCGGUCUCCAUUUGUCUGGCCUCAGCAUCGGUCAGGAGGAUAUCACCGGGUCUUAAAUCCCAGCAUCUGGGGGUCCACAGGGUCUUCAAUUUUCAAUAUUUGUCCUAAAGCCUGAUGAGAACAGCCUUUCACAUGCUACUUGGGUAAGUUAAUGCCAGUAGGAGCUGGAAGGUGUGAAAAUAAGGGCUUUAUGCUGCUGGCUUAGUUAUAUUUGCCUUUCUCACCUAUGGCUUCCUUGCAGUAGAUCUAUGCAUCUGCUACAGACACAGCAUUCUCGUUCUAUUACUCCUUUCUCUUGGCUGGUGAUGUACGGCAGAAAAUGGGACCUGCGGGGCUCGUUCACUCCUGCUCGUGGUCUGAGUUCCCCUGUCUGUACCAUAAGGAUAGUAAGAUUUAUACACCUCAAAGCUCGUGCGCUUCGUAGAUCCGUGCUCCAGUAUUUUUAGCUCUAAGCCGUGCGUGGUCCACAACUGUAAACAAGCGGAGAGAUACAUACAGUAGAUAAUUUACACUUUCUAGGAGAGGCCUGAAUGUAAUAUGACAGCAAUGACUUCCUUCUUCUAAUAGAAUUUUUAGUUCAUUACGGUGACUGUGCAGCGCGAGCUCAUAUCCUGAAGGGGUGCCGCUGGAAGGAGGAGCAGGGGGAAAGCAUCUGUUUUUAUUCUGGCUUCUGUUCUGACCAGCAAAUAUAAUGGCACAUGACCGUUGAGCCGACGGUAAUCCAGUUAGAAAAGUCUUCAGAGUUACUGCACCGACCAAAUUAAACUUGAUUACAUCCAAUUAUGCUGAAAAGCCAGACAACAGCU